UCUAAAUCUGCUUAAAUGAAUGAAUCCUUGAAGUCCCCCUGAUCACAUGAAACAUCCGGGUACUUGGUAACGUUACUUGUUUGCGUCCGCCAUAUUGGAUGAAAGCUAGCUGUUUAUGAAUGUAUUUUCAUUCAUUUCUAUAUUUGAAGGAAAAGUUUUACAUAGAACUAAAAGGCUUACAGAAAAGCUCUUAUAGUGAUGCAAGAAAGUCCUUGUUGCAGUACAAUGACAAUGUCGACACAUUCUGCAGAAGCUUCCACCCUUUGGCCCCACAGUCCGUUCCUCUCCUGCUCGAACCAAUCAGACACUUGGAAUCCCCACCGGGACAAGCUGGAGACCCUUCCUGCUGCGGCAUCUGGCCCAGCGUUUGGAAUAACGAAGGUCUUACAUGUCGGCGCUGGAGGACACUUGGGACAACCUGGGGUCCGAAUCGAUCUCGAAGCGGUAAUGGUAACCUUCCCACACCUCCCUGCAGGCAUCACGCAUGUCAUAGAUGCGUUUCUUGAUGCCCUUGCGGUUCAGAUAGAGCACAAAGAGGAAAAUGAGGCCCACAAAGCCCAGCACGAUCCCCAGGAAGACGUAGGAGGUCUGCAGGGCUAGGUCUGCCCCUGCUCCCCUUUGGCGGCACCCCAGAGUCCCGGACACGCCCACGGAGAGCAUGGAGGUGUUCCUCAUGGCGACAGGGAAGGCGCACACCAGCUCGCUGACGUCUCUAAUGCGUCCUUGCGAGUGGUUGAGCCACUGGACAAAAGGUUCUAUCCCGCAUGUACACAUGAAGGGGUUCUCCCCGAGUAGGAGCUCUGCCUGGGGAAGCGAGUCCAGUUCCCGCAAGCCCUCCUCGGGCACGUUCUUGAGCGAGUUGAGGGUCAAGUCGAGCUCUUGCAGCUCCUCCAGACCGGCCAGCGUGGAGUUGUGAAUGGCCACCAGGGAGUUGUUGGAGAGCAGCAGGCGCUGCAGGCCGUUCAAGUGGGAGAAGAUGCGCGAGGGCAGGUAGAUGAGGCUGUUGUGGGACAGGUCCAAGCCGCGCAAACUGCCCAGCGAGCUCCAGCGCAGCGCCGUGGCCAGGUCGAUCACCGAGGAGUGGUUGUAGAGGGCUCGGCUCAGGUUGAGCUCACGUAGAGAUUUGUUGACCACGGUGAAGGCUUCUGGGUGGAUGACCGCCAGCUGGUUGUUGCUCAGAUCCAGCGAGCGGAGACUUGGGAGACCGGCGAAGCUGUGCGACUCCACCUCGGAGAUCCUGGAGUGAAGGUAGAUCUUGUUGAUAUUGUCGGUAAAUGUGCAUUCUGGAUCAGAUCCAGAUUAAACGUUAAUGUUGCAAAUAAAUGUGCCAUGUGGAAUAGAUCUGCAAUUUAAAUGGCUGCCAAAUCAAAUUGUGAAUUGUCAAUAAAAAUGUCAUUUAAAUCUAAAACAAACGUUAACAUUGAUGUCUGAAAUACAAUCUGGAUUGGAGCUUUAUAAAGGUUUACACCACAACUUAAUAUGCAGCCUGGAUUGAAGCCUUUACACAGCAAAUUCUCAUAUUUUCUCCUGAUAAUUAAUCAAAGAUCUAGUUCAAACCGAACAGUGCAGUAAAUUGCAAUCAUACAUAAAGUGUGCUGUCCUGGAUAGAGUUGCUCCAAUGCAAUGCAGGCAUGGGGGUCUUUUUUCCUUAAGUGGGCAAGACAAAGCCUGUUUAAAACUGCAUGCAAACAAACCAUAUAUAAAUUACCUGUUGUUACAAAGAGAAAGGUUGGUCACAUUAUCCAGGCCUUUAAAAGACUCCGGGCCAAUGCGCAUGAUCUGGUUCCCUGUUAUGAAGAGGUUCCGAGUAUAUCCGGGGAUCCCGACCGGAACGUUCCUCAGGUCUUUGGCCACACACUUCACCGUGUGCGCCGCCUCGGAACACUCGCAGCCCGGAGGACAGGAGGCGGAGGACGCCACCGGUGCUGCGUAAACGGAGCCCAGGAGCGCGUAGAAAAGGAGACUGUGACUAAAGUCCCGCAUGUUUGGUUACAGGAUGAAGGAGAAGAAGAAGAAGAGGAAAGAUGAAGUGAAGAAGGAUCAGCUCCUGAUGCUAAACAUCUCCACCGGCUGCCGUCCCGAGUGGCCGUGCGCCUCAGCCGCGCGUCCUCGCACAAAGUGUGGAGCCUCCGAGCACUUCCAUGUGAACCACCACC